AACGCGAAGAACCUUACCAAGGCUUGACAUGCACCGGACAGCUGCAGAGAUGUGGUUUCCGUAAGGUCGGUGUACAGGUGGUGCAUGGUUGUCGUCAGCUCGUGUCGUGAGAUGUUGGGUUAAGUCCCGCAACGAGCGCAACCCUUAUCCUAUGUUGCCAGCGGGUUAUGCCGGGGACUCAUGGGAGACUGCCGGGGUCAACUCGGAGGAAGGUGGGGAUGACGUCAAAUCAUCAUGCCCCUUAUGUCUUGGGCUUCACGCAUGCUACAAUGGCCGGUACAGAGGGUUGCGAUAUCGUGAGGUGGAGCGAAUCCCUAAAAGCCGGUCUCAGUUCGGAUCGGGGUCUGCAACUCGACCCCGUGAAGUCGGAGUCGCUAGUAAUCGCAGAUCAGCAACGCUGCGGUGAAUACGUUCCCGGGCCUUGUACACACCG
rnacentral:rRNA from 1 species